rnacentral:rRNA from 1 species
UUUUAAGGUCUAACCUGCCCAAUGAUUUUUUUGAAUGGCCGCAGUAUUUUGACUGUGCAAAGGUAGCAUAAUCAUUAGUUUUUUAAUUGAAAGCUUGUAUGAAGGGUUGGACGAGGUAAAUUCUGUCUCUAUUUAAUUUUUGUAGAAUUUAACUUUUAAGUGAAAAGGCUUAAAUGAAACUAAAAGACGAGAAGACCCUAUAGAUCUUUAUACAGUAAUUUAUUUAAUUAUUAAGGUUUUUUUUUAAUUUAAUUUUUUAUUGUAUUUUAUUGGGGUAAUAUAAAGAUAAAAUAAAUUCUUUGAAAUUUUAAACAUUAAUUUAUGAUUAAGUGAUCCAUUUUUAGUGAUUGUAAGAUUAAGUUACCUUAGGGAUAACAGCGUAAUUUCUAUAGAGAGUUCAUAUCGAUAUAGAAGUUUGCGACCUCGAUGUUGGAUUAAAAGUUAUUGUAGGUGCAAGAGUUUACAAAUUUGGUCUGUUCGACCAUUAGACUUUUACAUGAUCUGAGUUCAGACCGGCGUAAGCCAGGUCGGUUUCUAUCUUUAGUAAUUGAGCAUAUUUUAGUACGAAAGGACCAAAUAUGAAAUAUAUUGAUAUUUAAUUUUUUGAUUAUUAUUAUUACUUUGGCAGAGUAGUGCAAUGAAUUUAGAAUUCAUAAAUGUAAUUUAAUUUACAAGUAAUAUUGUUUUUUGGGGAUUUAAUUUUUUUAUUUAUUUGUAUAUUAUUAUUAUUAAUUUGUGUAUUAGUAGGGGUUGCUUUUUUAACUUUA